GACGAACGCUGGCGGCGUGCUUAACACAUGCAAGUCGAACGAAGUGGCGAACGGGUGAGUAAUCUGUGGGUAACCUCCCCUCCUUUUUGGGAUAAGUCUUGGCGACGGGGUCUAACACAGAAUAAAGGGGGAUGGGCUCGCGGCCUAUCAGCUUGUUGGUGGGGUGAUGGCCUACCAAGGCGGUGACGGGUAGCAGGCCUGAGAGGGUGACCGUGCACAUUGGGACGGAGAUACGGCCCAGGAGCCUACGGGAGGGAGCAGUGGGGGAUAUUGCACAAUGGGCGAAAGCCUGAUGCAGCGACUGCGCGUGGGGGAUGAAGGCUUUCGGGUUGUAAACCUCUGGCGCAAGCGAACGGGUAGGUGGAGAAGAAGCGCCGGCUAACUACGUGCCAGCAGCCGCGGUAAUAC
rnacentral:rRNA from 1 species